rnacentral:misc_RNA from 1 species
GAUGAAGAACGUAGUGAAAUGCGAUACGUAAUGUGAAUUGCAAAUUCAGUGAAUCAUCGAGUCUUUGAACGCACAUUGCGCCCCCUGGUAUUCCGGGGGGCAUGCCUGUCCGAGCGUCAUUGCUGCCCUCAAGCACGGCUUGUGUGUUGGGCCCCGUCCUCCGAUCCCGGGGGACGGGCCCGAAAGGCAGCGGCGGCACCGCGUCCGGUCCUCGAGCGUAUGGGGCUUUGUCACCCGCUCUGUAGGCCCGGCCGGCGCUUGCCGAUCAACCCAAAUUUUUAUCCAGGUUGACCUCGGAUCAGGUAGGGAUACCCGCUGAACUUAAGCAUAUAAUAAGCGGAGGA